rnacentral:rRNA from 1 species
AUGGUCACCCCGCUGCGCGUCAUGGCGCCUGGGGACAUGGAACCCUCGCCAGGGGGAGCCAGUGGCGACCAGCCGGGGCUGGGGGGAAGCGGUGACGACAUCAUCAUCUUGGAGAAGGCGCCGGAGCCGACCCCGCCAACUGGGGCGGCCCAAGGCGGCCAGCCUGAUCCGCCGCCUGCACAGUCGGCGAAGGGCGAGCCGGCCGCGGGGGCUGAGGUGGCGGUCCGGGUGCCGCCGAGCCGGCGCGCGGGGAAGGCCGCGUCGGAGCCACAGCCGGCCGUGGGCUCCAGCUCGUCGGCCCGAGACGCGGAGGCGGCCAGCGCUACCUCGGGGUGGACGCCAGGCGGAGGGACAGCCGUAGUGAACGUGGCUGCACAAGACGUCCGGACCCGGCUCCAAAGCCAAGCCGCGGCGCUGAGGCAGUUCACCGACGAGUCCCUCGCAACGCGGGCGGCCAUACGGGACUACCACAACCUUCGAGCGGCCGCCUUCAACUCCCAGGCUCGGGAGCUGACUCAGAAGACCGCCGAUCUUACUGAGAGCCGAGUGGCCAACGCCAUUCUGAGGGCACAGCUGGGGGAGUCCCAGACUGCUCUUCGUGCCAAGGAUGCCGAGCUCGCCGCCUUGGUGCAGGAGCGCGACUGCCUGGUCAAGAAGCUGGCCGACCAGGAGGAAGGCCACAAGGCGGCGUUGAAGGCUGUGCAGGAUCGUGAAGCCACUCUCUAG